CCUACGGGCGGCAGCAGUGAGGAAUAUUGGUCCAUGGGCGGAAGCCUGAACCAGCCAAGUAGCGUGCGGGAUGAAGGCCCUACGGGUCGUAAACCGCUUUUGCACGGGGAUAACACCCUCCACUUGUGGAGGUCUGUAGGUACCGUGCGAUUAAGGGCCGGCUAAUUCCGUGCCAGCAGCCGCGGUAAUACGGAAGGCCCGAGCGUUAUCCGGAUUUAUUGGGUUUAAAGGGUGCGUAGGCGGACGCUUAAGUCAGCGGUAAAAUUGCGGGGCUCAACCUCGUCGAGCCGUUGAGACUGGGUGCCUUGAGUGGGCGAGAAGUACGCGGAAUGCGUGGUGUAGCGGUGAAAUGCAUAGAUAUCACGCAGAACUCCGAUUGCGAAGGCAGCGUACCGGCGCCCAACUGACGCUGAAGCACGAAGGCGUGGGUAUCGAACAGGAUUAGAUACCCCUGUAGUC
rnacentral:rRNA from 1 species